rnacentral:rRNA from 1 species
CUUCGCGCACCCAAAGUCCCCUGGAGCGGGGAUACAGAUUGAAGCUCUUUCUUGUUCGGUGGUGAGGUGCUCGAUUUGUUGGUGGAGUGAUUUGUCUGGAUCCGAAAGAGGGUCUAACCUCAUCUAAGGAUAAUUAAGUCCAGAGACCUUAGAGACAAGCGGUGAGCGAAAGUUGCAAUAACUUUGAUGCGAGAGUCCAGGGCUGCACCCGCUAGAUGGAGGAUAGAGUGCGUAACUUGUCGAAAGGCAUUGGUAACCUUCAAAAUCCUCGUGAUCGGGACGGGAGUGAAUAUUUCCCUUGAACGGGAAUUCCGUAGGUGUGAGUCAUAGCCUCGGAUUCGUCGCUGACGUUUGUAGACACCCCCGUCGUGCCCGGCAUUGAGGCGCUUCGAGAAUAGGGGUACUGCUGUUUCGAACCUUUCGGGGUGGGUUCUUUGGUGGAGACUGCCUUAGUCGCAUGGUUGAUGCGGAUGCGUAACAUGGUUUCGGUGUGAACCUGGACCACCUAUCGAGCUUCAAACAGGCCAAGGGUCUACAUCCAUUUGGGUGAAAACCUGAAGCGAAUGCAACAAAGUCGUCGUGUGCGGCUGAUAUGGGAUCGCACGGUUUAGGCCGGGAGGGCACCAUGCUCCGUCCCCGUGCUUGAAUACGGAGUAGAGCCACGCUGGCCCGAGAUGGUGACUAUGCCUGAGCAGGAUGAAGCCAGAGGAAACUCGGGGAGGUCCACGAUUUGCGUGCAAACGCGUCUCGGGUAUAGCAGACUAAUCGAACCUGUGCGCUGCCAGCACCCAAAACCACAUGUACCA